UGUCAGACAGGCUGCCACAAACUGAUGCACCAAACUGCAACUACUACAUGUUGUUUGUAUAUAUCUGCAGUAUUUCUCACACCUGCAGGGGGGAAAAAACCUCAUACAAUGAAAAUAAAGGAUUUCCACGUCCAUAGAUUGUAAAAUCAACACAGUGCUAUACCCUGCUGACAAAGUGAAAGCUGUGAUGUAGAUUACGGACACCUCCCCUGUUUGUUAUAAUGCAACAGUGAUGUGCUUUCGUCUACAGGUGCUGAGCUGAAAGCACCAGAAAGAAAAGCAGAUAGAACAAACUCACAUUUAAAAUUCUUUACCAUGAUGUUUAAGGUCUUUAUAUUGUGUUUCCUUCAUCUGCCAGGGAAUAAGGGUGCCUCAAAUACCUAUACUGUCAGUCAAAAACCUCCUUUCAUCAUUAAGAGAAAUAAUGAAUCUGUUACCAGUGAGAUCAAAUGUUCACACAGCAUAACAAAUUUUAAUCGUAUUCUCUGGUACAAACAAGAAGAAAACAAAGCGCUAAAGUUCCUGGGAUAUCUGAAUCUGGGCUUCCCAAACCUCGAGGACGACGUGAAAGGAAAAAUCAGCUUUGAUGGAGACGGCCGUAAAGAGUCAAGCCUCACUGUUUCAAAUGUUUCAUUAAAUGACAGGGGUGUGUAUUUCUGUGCUGCCAGUCAGCACAGUGCUGCAGAUUCCCCUCAAGUCAAUACAAAAACUGUCUGCAGACAGACAAGAUGUUCAGGCUCUUGAACACCUGCAGCCAGCCUCCAUCUAAACUGAGCCUUUGAAGUUAUUAUCAACUGUUGUACAAAAUAUGGUCGUCACAUUUCUUGGAUGUGCAGAAAAUAAUAUUUCUGAUAUUGUCUCAUCAACUACAGGACUGAUGGAGUCUUGAACUACAGACCACUGAUAAAAUGCAGACAUCCAAACUAUUCUGCUUCCUACAUUGUGUUUCAGGUUUAGAUUUUGGUAAAAAAGAAAAACUUCAUAAAUCAGACUUGAUCCUAAGAUAUAAUUUUACUUCCAUGCCAGUACAGAAAAACCUUCCAUAUUCUGUUUUAAAGAUCAUCACAUCAUGAAAUCUGUCUUUCUCAGUCUUGUCAGUGCUACAGAUCUGAAUUAGAGGUAACAUUCAUGACAGUGAUGAACUGUAGGCGGACCUACACUUCCACUGAUACUCCCACCUACACAGUGUUAAUGCAGAGACACCUGCAACUCUUCAUGUCUCUGUAACUAUGAGACUCUGGCAGUCUCUCUCUGUCAGAACAUGGAUAUCAUCAAACAAGAUCUCCUCAUAUUGUCAGUGUUUUUGCUGUGGAUUACAGGUCUUAUUGAUGGGAGUGAUGUCACCCAGACUGACAUACUGUGGAAACACCAGGGUGAAAGUGCAACAAUAAACUGCAGCCACACCAAGGAUGCUACCUAUUACCAGAUGUACUGGUACAGACAGCUACCAGGGCAGAGGAUGAAGGAAAUAGUUUUCACGACUACAACUCCUCCACCUAAGUAUCAAAGUGGCUUCAGUGAAGAAAAAUUCCCAGCAACAAAGAACAAUGCUGAGACUGGAUCUUUGACAGUGAAGAAGCUGCUGUCUGAGGACAGUGGAGUGUAUUUCUGUGCUGUGAGUAAACACAGUGAUACAGGUGACUCAGACAGCUGUACAAAUACCCAUGUGAACAAAAGAUAACAGUUUCUUUGAUAGACUACAGAGGGAGCUCUAGACUAACACUGAUACAAUUACUCUGACUAUUUGAAAUUGCACAUACCUUUUUGUUAGUAAUCAGUAUUUGUGGUAAUAGUGGCUGUGCAAAACAAGGGUUAAAAAUGUCCCAAUGUAAAAUUAUGGGCAAUGAAUUUGACACCAUAUGUACUCUGUAAUCUAACCCAACAUGUUUAAAAAGACAUUUGUAGUUUUCCUGUUUUAAUUACUUUCCUGUUGGUUUCAAACUAUGUUAAAUUAUUAUUUCAUU